UGGAUAGCUCAGUCAGUAGAGCAUCAGACUUUUAAUCUGAGACUCCACAGGGUUCAAACCCCUGUUCA
rnacentral:tRNA from 1 species